UCCUGGCUAGCUCAGUCGGCAGAGUGUGUGACUCUUGAUCUUGAGAUCGUGAGUUCGAGCCUCACGUUGGGCA
rnacentral:tRNA from 1 species